GACGAACCGAGCGAACGUUGUUCGGAAUCACUGGGCUUAAAGGGCUCGUAGGCGGCCAACUAAGUCGGACGUGAAAUCCCCAGGCUCAACCUGGGAACUGCGUCCGAUACUGGAUGGCUUGAAUUCGGGAGAGGGAUGCAGAAUUCCAGGUGUAGCGGUGAAAUGCGUAGAUAUCUGGAGGAAUACCGGUGGCGAAGGCGGCAUCCUGGACCGACAUUGACGCUGAGGAGCGAAAGCUAGGGGAGCAAACGGG
rnacentral:rRNA from 1 species